GGGGGUGUGGCUCAGUGGUAGAGCACUUGCCUAGCAUGUGCGAGGCCCUGGGUUCAAUACUCAGCACCACAU
rnacentral:tRNA from 1 species